AAUAAAUUUUUUAUAGUUUAUAAAUUUAUUAUAAAUUUAUUUUGCAUAUAAAUUUUAGUGUUAAUUUUUCAUUAUUUUAAUAAUUUUUGAAUUUUAAAUUAUAUAGCAAUUAAUAUUAAAAAUUUAAGAAAUUAAGAUUUAGUAAUAUUUAAAUUAAUAACAAAUUUUGUGCCAGCAGUUGCGGUUAUACAAAAAUUAAAUUAAAUUUUAUUAGUAAUUAAUUUAUAAAAAUUUUAUUUAAUUAAAUAUUAAAUUUAAUAGGUGAAAUUUUUAUUUAAUUUAAUUUAAUUUAAUUUUAUAAUUUAAUAAAUUUAUAUUAUAAACUAGGAUUAGAUACCCUAUUAUUAAAAAUUUAAAUUUAAAAUACUAAAAUAGUAUAUAAUUAUUUAUUGAAACUUAAAUAAUUUGGCGGUAUUUUAGUUCAUUUAGAGGAAUCUGUUUAUUAAUUGAUAAUCCACGAAUGAAUUUACUUAAUUUAAAAUUUUGUAUAUCGUUGUUAAAAAAAUAUUUUUAAAUGAAAAUAAUAUUUUAAUUUUAUAAUUAAAAAUUAAAUCAGAUCAAGAUGCAGAUUAUAAUUAAGAAUAUAAUGGAUUACAAUAAAUUUAUUUAAAUGGAUUUUUUUUUGUAAUAAAAAUUUGAAAGUGGAUUUAAAUGUAAUUUUAUUUAUUUUAAUAAAAUGAUUAUAUAUUAAAAUAUGUACAUAUUGCCCGUCGCUUUCAUAAAUAAAUUGGAAUAAGUCGUAACAAAGUAGAGGUACUGGAAAGUGUUUCUAGAAAUAA
rnacentral:ncRNA from 1 species